CUGUUUCUGAGCUGUCUAAAAGGAAGGUAGGAAAUGCACAUACUUAUGGAUGCAGAGCCAACGCCUACUUAGACUUCAAGUUAAAAAAAAAAAACAAAAACGGAAUCUUUUGGGGUCAGGACCAAGAUGGUGACAUAGUAGGUUCCCAAGCUUAUUUCCUCCUACAAAUGUGCAGAAUGUACAGCUACCCAUGGAACAAUUCCUUCCGAAAGAAAUCCGAAAACUACCUGAGUGACCACUACACAUCAAACACAUGAGAAAAUGCAAUGAAACAGACCACUAAAUUUUCAAGACCAGAAUACAAAGUAAAAGUCCAAUUAUGUCAAGGGAAAAAUAGAAGUUUAAAGAAAAGAACUGAAUCCGGACUUUUUAAAAGAAAAUCUGUAAUUAAAUGACAUAUAAAAGUGGAAGAAUAUUACAAGAAGAGAGAGAACAGCUAAAUGGAUGACAUACAGAAGUGAGAAACACCCUUGCUGGAAAUGGAACAGAAUCUGGUGCAGCUCAAGUGCAGACUCACAUCAAAUAGCCUGGAGGUGAAAUCAAAAU